rnacentral:rRNA from 1 species
AGUGAACGCUGGCGGCAGGCCUAACACAUGCAAGUCGAGCGGCAGCGGGUUCCCGCGAGGGGAUGCCGGCGAGCGGCGGACGGGUGAGGAACACAUCGGAAUCUGCCUGGUUGUGGGGGAUAACGUAGGGAGACUUACGCUAAUACCGCAUGAGACCCUGAGUCGACGGACUGGGGGGUGAAAGUGAGGGACCUUCGGGCCGUCACGCGACCAGAUGAGCCGAUGUCGGAUAGCUAGUUGGCGGGGUAACGGCCCGCCAAGGCGACGAUCCGUAGCUGGUCUGAGAGGAUGAUCAGCCACACUGGGACUGAGACACGGCCCAGACUCCUACGGGAGGCAGCAGUGGGGAAUCUUGGACAAUGGGCGCAAGCCUGAU